rnacentral:rRNA from 1 species
UACAGAGGGGGCAAGCGUUGUUCGGAAUUACUGGGCGUAAAGGGCGCGUAGGCGGCCUGUUAAGUCGGACGUGAAAUCCCCGGGCUCAACCCGGGAACUGCGUCCGAUACUGGCAGGCUUGAAUCCGGGAGAGGGAUGCGGAAUUCCAGGUGUAGCGGUGAAAUGCGUAGAUAUCUGGAGGAACACCGGUGGCGAAGGCGGUUCUCUGGGCAUUACCUGACGCUGAGGAGCGAAAGUGUGGGGAGCGAACAGG